rnacentral:rRNA from 1 species
GACGAACGCUGGCGGCGUGCUUAACACAUGCAAGUCGAGCGAUGAAGCACCUUCGGGUGUGAAUUAGCGGCGAACGGGUGAGGAACACGUGAAGAAUCUGCCUUCAACUCUGGGAUAACUCCGGGAAACCGGGGCUAAUACCGGAUAUGAGCCUUGAUCGCAUGAUCGGGGCUGGAAAGUUUUUCGGUUGAAGAUGACUUCGCGGCCUAUCAGCUUGUUGGUGAGGUAAUGGCUCACCAAGGCGACGACGGGUAGCCGGCCUGAGAGGGCGACCGGCCACACUGGGACUGAGACACGGCCCAGACUCCUACGGGAGGCAGCAGUGGGGAAUAUUGGGCAAUGGAGGAAACUCUGACCCAGCGACGCCGCGUGAGGGAUGAAGGCC